GCUUGAUGAUGACACCUUUAGAAACUGAGCAAUUGUAGUUGGUACUUCAUUUGCGUGUUUGAUGUGAGCAUUUCAAGACGGGGCUGAAAGCAGC
rnacentral:snoRNA from 1 species